UUUAAACUUUUUUCUUCUUUCCAAUUUUGAUAUCUAUUCCACUCACUAAUCACCAUAAAGAUAUAAAUACAUUAUUCAUGAAAAUAGAACACAAAUCCGCUGUAGCAAAAACCAAACUUGGCUAAUUUGUUCAUCCAGGUUCGACUCCUGGCGGCGGAAAAUACUUUUUGAUUAAAUUUUUUGUGUUUUUCGUUUUUUAUAUCUAUUUCACUCACUAAUCGCCCCUCUAGCUAUAAAUAAAAUUACUUAAAAAAUAAAACACAAAUCCGUAGUAGCAAAACUAAUUUUGGCUAAUUUGUUCUUCCAGGUUUGAAAAUCGUUUUUAAACUUCUUUCUUCUUUCCAAAUUUGAUAUCUAUUCCACUCACUAAUCACCCAUAAAGAUAUAAAUACAUUAUUCAAGAAAAUAGAACACAAAUCCGCUGUAGCAAAACUAAACUUGGCUAAUUUUUUCAUCCAGGUUCGACUCCAGGCAGUGGAAAAUAAUUUUGGAUACUUUUCUUUGUAUUUUUCGUUUUUAUAUCCAUUUCACUCACGAAUCAUGCCUCAAGCUAUAAAUAAAAUUACUUAAAGAAAAAACACAAAUCCGCUGUACCAAAACUAAACUUGGCUAAUUUGUUCACCUUGGUUCGCCUCUUGGCAGCGGAAAAGACUAUUGGAUUCUUUUUUUGGUAUUUGUCGUUUUUAUAUCCAUUUCAACCAAUAAUCAACUCCCAAGCUAUAAAUAAAAUUACUUAAAGAAAAAACGCAAAUCCGUUGUGGCAAAACUAAACUUGGCUAAUUUGUUCAUCCACGUUCGACACCUAGUAACAGAAAAUUCUUUUGAAUUAUUUUUUUUGGAUUUUUUGUUUUUUAUGUCUAUUCCAGUCACUAGUCGCCCCUCUAGCUCCAAAUAAAAUUACUUAAAAAAUAAAACAUAAAUUCGUAGCAGCAAAACUAGUGUUGGCUAAUUUGUUCUUCCAGGUUGAAAAUUGUUUUUGAACUUUUUUCUUCUUUCCAAUUUUGAUAUCUAUUCCACUCACUAAUCACCGAUACAGAUAUAAAUACAUUAUUCAAGAAAAUAGAACACAAAUCCGCUGUAGCAAAACCAAACUUGGCUAAUUUGUUCAUCCAGGUUCGACUCCUGGCAGAGUGGAAAAUACUUUUUGAUUAUUUUUUUGGUAUUUUUUGUUUUUAUAUCCAUUUCACAUACUAAUCGCCCCUCUAGCUAUAAAUAAAAUUACUUAAAAAAUAAAACACAAAUCCGUAGUACCAAAAGUAAUAUUGGAUAAUUUAUUCUUCCAGGUUUGAAAAUCGUUUUUAAACUUUUAUGUUCUUCCCAAUUUUCGUAUCUAUUCCACUCACUAAUCACCCAUAAAGAUAUAAAUACAUUAUUGACGAAAAUAGAACACAAAUCUGCUGUAGCAAAACUAAACUUGGCUAAUUUGUUCAUCUAGGUUCGACUCCUGGCAGCGGAAAAUACUUUUUGAUUAUUUUUUUGUAUUUGUCGUUUUUUAUAUCUAUUUCACUCACUAAUCACCCCUCAAGCUAUAAAUAAAAUUACUUAAAAAAUAAAACACAAAUCUGUAGUGGCAACACUAAUUAUGGCUAAUUUAUUCUUCCAGGUUUGAAAAUUGUUUUUAAACUUUUUUCUUCUUUCCAAUUUUGAUAUGUAUUCACUCACUAAUCACCGAGAAAGAUAUAAAUACAUUAUUCAUGAACGUAGAACACCAAUCCGCUGUAGCAAAACUAAACUUGGCUAAUUUGUUCAUCCAGGUUCGACUGCUAUCUGCGGAAAAUACUUUUUGACUAUUUUUUUUGUAUUUUCCUUUUUUUUUAUAUCUAUUUCACUCACUAAUCGCCCCUCUAGAUAUAAAAAAAAAUUACUUAAAAAAUAAAACACAAAUCCGUAGCAGCAAAACUAAUCUUGGCUAAUUUGUUCUUCCAGGUUUGAAAAUCGUUUUUAAACUUUUUCCUUGUUGCCAAUUUUGAUAUCUAUUCCACUCACUAAUCUCCGAUAAAGAUAUAAAUACAUUAUUCAUGAAAAUAGAACACAAAUCUGCUGUAGUAAAACCCAACUUGGCUAAUUUGUUCAUCCAGGUUCGACUCCUGGCAGCGGAAAAUACUUUUUGAUUAUUUUGUUUGUAUUUUUUGUUUUUUAUAUCGAUUUCACUAACUAAUCGCCCCUCUAGCUAUAAAUAAAAUUACUUAAAAAAUAAAACACAAAUCUGUAGUAGCAAAACUAAUCUUGGCUAAUUUGUUCUUCCAGGUUUGAAAAUUGUUUUUAAACUUUUUUGUUCUUUCCAAUUUUCGUAUCUAUUCCACUCACUAAUCACCCAUAAAGAAAUAAAUACAUUAUUCAUGAAAAUAGAGCACAAAUCCGUUGUAGCAAAACCAAACUUGGCUAAUUUGUUCAUCCAGGUCCGACUCUUGGCAGAGGAAAAUACUUUUUGAUUAUUUUUUUUGUAUUGUUCUUUUUUAUAUCUAUUUCACUCACUAAUCGCCCCUCAAGCUAUAAAUGAAAUUACUUAAAAAGUAAAACUCAAAUCCGUAGGGGCAACACUAAUCAUGGCUAAUUUAUUCUUCUAGGUAAGAAAAUCGUUUUUAAACUUUUUUCUUCUUUCCAAUUUUGAUUUGUAUUCCACUCACUAAUCACCGAUAAAGAUAUAAAUACAUUGUUCAUGAAAAUAGAACACAAAUCCGCUGUAGCAAAACUAAACUUGGCCAAUUUGUUCAUCCAGGUUCGACUCCUGGCAGCGGAAAAUUGUUUUUGAUUUUUUUUUUUGUAUUUUUCGUUUUUUUUUAUCUAUUUCCCUCACUAAUCGCUCCUCAAGCUAUAAAUAAAAUUACUUAAAAAAUAAAACACAAAUCCGUAGUGGGAACACUAAUCAUGGCUAAUUUAUUCUCCUAGGUUUGAAAAUAUUUUUUAAACUUUUUUCUUCUUUCCAAUUUUGAUAUCUAUUCCACUCACUAAUCACCGAUAAAGAUAUAAAUACAUUAUUCAUCAAAAUAGAACACAAAUCCGCUGUAGUAAAACCCAACUUGGCUAAUUUGUUCAUCCAGGUUCGACUCCUAGCAGCGGAAAAUACUUUUUGAUUAUUUUUUUUGUAUUUUUCGUUUUUUAUAUCUAUUUCACUCACUAAUCGCCCCUCAAACUAUAAAUAAAAUUACUUAAAAAAUAAAACACAAAUCCGUAGUGGCAACACUAAUCAUGGCUAAUUUAUUCUUCCAGGUUUGAAAAUCGUUUUUAAACUUUUUUCUUCUUUCCAAUUUUGAUAUGUAUUCCACUCACUAAUCACCGAUAAAGAUAUAAAUACAUUAUUCAUGAAAAUAGAACACAAAUCCGUUGUAACAAAACUAAACAUGGCUAAUUUGUUCAUCUAGGUUCGCCUCUUGGCAGCGGAAAAUACUCUUGGAUUCUUUUUUUUGUAUUUUUCAUUUUUAUAUCCAUUUCAAUCACUAAUCAACCCUCAAGCUAUAAAUAAAAUUACUUAAUGAAAAAACACAAAUCCGUUGUAGCAAAACUAAACUUGGCUAAUUUUUUCAUCCAGGUUCGACUCCUGGCAGCGGAAAAUACUUUUUGAUUAUUUUUUUUGUAUUUUUCGUUUUUUAUAUCUAUUUCACUCAUCGCCACUCAAGCUAUAAAUAAAAUUACUUAAAAAAUAAAACACGAAUCCGUAGUGGCAACACUAAUCAUGGGUAAUUUAUUCUUCCAGGUUUGAAAAUCGUUUUUAAACUUUUUUCUUCUUUCCAAUUUUGAUAUCUAUUCCACUCACUAAUCACCGAUAAAGAUAUAAAUACCUUAUUCAUGAAAAUAGAACACAAAUCCGCUGUAGUAAAACCCAACUUGGCUAAUUUGUUCAUCCAGGUUCGAUUCCUGGCAGCGGAAAAUACUUUUUGAUUAUUUUGUUUGUAUUUUUUGUUUUUUAUAUCGAUUUCACUAACUAAUCGCCCCUCUAGCUAUAAAUAAAAUUACUUAAAAAAUAAAACACAAAUCUGUAGUAGCAAAACUAAUCUUGGCUAAUUUGUUAUUCCAGGUUUGAAAAUCGUUUUUAAACUUUUUUCUUCUUUCCAAUUUUGAUUUGUAUUCCACUCACUAAUCACCGAUAAAGAUAUAAAUACAUUGUUCAUGAAAAUAGAACACAAAUCCGCUGUAGCAAAACUAAACUUGGCCAAUUUGUUCAUCCAGGUUCGACUCCAGGCAGCGGAAAAUUGUUUUUGAUUUUU
rnacentral:lncRNA from 1 species